GAUGAACGCUAGCUAUAGGCUUAACACAUGCAAGUCGAGGGACCGGCGCACGGGUGAGUAACGCGUAUCCAACCUGCCCAUAACUAAGGGAUAACCCAGCGAAAGUUGGACUAAUACCUUAUGGUUAUGGAUGGGGAUGCGUCUGAUUAGCUUGUUGGCGGUGUAACGGCCAACCAAGGCAACGAUCAGUAGGGGUUCUGAGAGGAAGGUCCACCAGAUUGGAACUGGGACACGGUCCAAACUGGUACGGGACGCAGCAGUGAGGAAUAUUGGUCACUGGAUGCAAAUCUGAACCAGCCAAGUAUCGUGCAGAAGUACGGCCUAGGGGAUGUAAAUUGCUUUUAUGUGAGAAUAUGUAUCACAUGAAUAAGGACCGGCUAACUCCGUGCCAGCAGCCGCGGUAAUUC
rnacentral:rRNA from 1 species